rnacentral:rRNA from 1 species
AUACGGAGGGUGCAAGCGUUAUCCGGAUUCAUUGGGUUUAAAGGGUCCGUAGGCGGGUAAUUAAGUCAGUGGUGAAAUCCUACAGCUCAACUGUAGAACUGCCAUUGAUACUGAUAACCUCGAGUGUGAUUGAAGUGGGCGGAAUGUGUCAUGUAGCGGUGAAAUGCAUAGAUAUGACACAGAACACCGAUUGCGAAGGCAGCUCACUAAGUCACAACUGACGCUGAGGGACGAAAGCGUGGGGAGCGAACAGGAUUAGAAACCCCAGUAGUCC